UACGUAGGGGGCAAGCGUUGUCCGGAUUCAUUGGGCGUAAAGAGCGUGUAGGCGGCCAGGUAGGUCGGUUGUGAAAACUGGAGGCUCAACCUUCAGAGGUCGACCGAAACCAUCUGGCUAGAGUCCGGGAGAGGAGAGUGGAAUUCCUGGUGUAGCGGUGAAAUGCGCAGAUAUCAAGGAAGAACACCCGUGGCGAAAGCGGCUCUCUGGGAACGGUACUGACGCUGAGCACGCGAAAGCGUGGGGAGCGAACAGG
rnacentral:rRNA from 1 species